CAUGGGGGAACCCUGAUGCAGCGACGCCGCGUGGAGGAAGAAGGUCUUCGGAUUGUAAACUCCUGUUGUUGGGGAAGAUAAUGACGGUACCCAACAAGGAAGUGACGGCUAACUACGUGCCAGCAGCCGCGGUAAAACGUAGGUCACAAGCGUUGUCCGGAAUUACUGGGUGUAAAGGGAGCGCAGGCGGGAAGACAAGUUGGAAGUGAAAUCUAUGGGCUCAACCCAUAAACUGCUUUCAAAACUGUUUUUCUUGAGUAGUGCAGAGGUAGGCGGAAUUCCCGGUGUAGCGGUGGAAUGCGUAGAUAUCGGGAGGAACACCAGUGGCGAAGGCGGCCUACUGGGCACCAACUGACGCUGAGGCUCGAAAGUGUGGGUAGCAAACAGGAUUAGAUACCCUGGUAGUCCAAGGGCGAAUUC
rnacentral:rRNA from 1 species